GACGAACCGUGCGAACGUUAUUCGGAAUCACUGGGCUUAAAGCGCGUGUAGGCGGGCCGGCACGUCGGUCGCUGAAAUCCCCCGGCUCAACCGGGGAAGGGGCACCGAUACGACCGGCCUGGAGGGGGUAGGGGGCGCUGGAACUCACGGUGGAGCGGUGAAAUGCGUUGAGAUCGUGAGGAACGCCCGCGGCGAAAGCGAGCGCCUGGACCCUUUCUGACGCUGAGACGCGAAAGCCAGGGGAGCGAACGGG
rnacentral:rRNA from 1 species